rnacentral:rRNA from 1 species
GACGAACCGUACGAACGUUAUUCGGAAUCACUGGGCUUAAAGGGUGCGUAGGCGGCGCGACAAGUUGGGUGUGAAAUCCCUCGGCUCAACCGAGGAACUGCGCCCAAAACUGUCGUGCUCGAGGGAGAAAGAGGUGGGCGGAACUUAGGGUGGAGCGGUGAAAUGCGUUGAUAUCCUAAGGAACACCGGUGGCGAAAGCGGCUCACUGGUUCUCUUCUGACGCUGAGGCACGAAAGCUAGGGUAGCGAACGGG